GGUGCUGCUGGCCGGGCCGGGACCGACCGGCUGGCAGCUCGACGACCCGGUCCUCCAACUCGGCAACGGUCCGAUUCCGAUCAGCGUCC
rnacentral:tRNA from 1 species